UGCCGCUUGCGAGGGCGUAUGGUGGAUGCCUUGGCAGACAGUACCGAUGAAGGACGUUUGAGGAUGCGAUAAUCCUAGGGGAGCCUCCAACAUGGCUUUGAUCCUAGGGUCUCCGAAUGGGGGAACCCGCCGGCCGUCAUGGGCCGGCACCGCACGUUGUUGCGGGGGGUACGCAGGGAAGUGAAACAUCUCAGUACCUGCAGGAAGGGAUACUCCGUGAGUAGUGGCGAGCGAAAGCGGAUCAGACCAAACCGGUUGCGCGUGAUACCCGUCGGGGGUUGCGUUUCCGGUGUUGUGGGAUCACGUGUCCCGGUUCCGACGGGCCGGGCGGGAGUCAUAAAACGGCUUGCCAGGGGAACAGGCUUGAAGGCCUGGCCGUAGAGGGUGCCAGCCCCGUACCUGGACGUGAGCCGUCUUCCGAUCGUGUUGUCCCAAGUAGCGCGGGCCUCGUGGAAUCCCGCGUGAAUCAGCCCAGACCGUUGGGUAAGUCUAAGCAUACCUGUCUGACCGAUAGCGUACCAGUACCGUGAGGGAAAGGUGAAAAGCACCCCGGGAGGGGAGUGAAACAGUUCCUGAAACCGUGCGCCCACAAACCGUCGGAGCCUCCUUGUGGGGUGACGGCGUGCCUAUCGAAAAAUGAGUCUGCGAGUCAGUGGCGGGUGGCGAGCAUAAGCCGUGUGGCGUAUGCGUAGCGAAAGCGAGUCUUAAAAGGCGUUUUUUAGUCGCUUGUCCUGGACCCGAAGCGGGAUGAUCUAGCCCUGGGCAGGUUGAAGCGCGGGUAAGACCGCGUGGAGGACCGAACCCACCUGGGUUGAAAACCGGGGGGAUGACCUGGGGCUAGGGGUGAAAGGCCAAUCAAAUUCCGUGAUAGCUGGUUCUCUCCGAAAUGCAUUUAGGUGCAGCGUCGGUCGAUUGCGUCGCGGGGGUAGAGCUACCGGAUGCUUGCGGGCCCUUGUUGGGUACCAACAGCAGCCGAACUCCGAAUACCGUUGACGUGUAUUCCGGCAGUGAGUCGGCGGGGGAUAAGCUCCGUCGUCGAGAGGGAGACAGCCCAGACCGUCGUCUAAGGUCCCGAAGCGUGUGCUAAGUGGGAAAGGAUGUGGAGUCGCAUAGACAGCCAGGAGGUUGGCUCAGAAGCAGCCAUCCUUGAAAGAGUGCGUAACAGCUCACUGGUCUAGUGGUUCCGCGCCGACAAUGUAGCGGGGCUCAAGCACACCACCGAAGACGCGGCAGCAAUCUUCAUGGUUGCUGGGUAGGAGAGCGUCCUGCGAGGGGCGAAGCGGCCGGGUAACCGUGCCGUGGACUUCGUGGGAGUGAGAAUGCAGACAUGAGUAGCGAGAGACGGGUGAGGAUCCCGUCCGCUGGAUGACCAAGGGUUCCGGGGCCACGUUCGUCGUCCCCGGGUGAGUCGGGUCCUAAGGCGAGGCCGACAGGCGUAGUCGAAUGGAUGAACGGGUGGAUAUUCCCGUACCGACCAUGGACCGGCAAAACCGAGACGGUGAGUACUAACCUCCGCCUCGUGGUGGUUCCUUCCUUCGGGUUGGUAUCGCCGCGUGGUGUUGGGAGCGUAGCCGCAGUAGGUCAGCGCAGGGGUGACACGGAAUGGGAGCCGGCCGCGGAGGUGGUUUUCCGUGGUCAAGCACGCAGCCAGUCAUGUAGGCAAAUCCGCAUGGCGCGCAUGGCGAGGUGUGAUGAUGGGAGCCGUUAUGGCUCGAUAUCCGGUUGUCCAGGCCGUCGAGAAAAGCCUCGGCGUGAGGGCCAUGGCCGCCCGUACCCCAAACCGACACUGGUGGUCAGGUAGAGAAUACCAAGGCGAUCGAGCGAAUCCUGGUCAAGGAACUCGGCAAAUCACUCCCGUGCCUUCGGUAUAAGGGAGACCCGCUGGGGUGAACCGGCUAGCCCGGGGAGCUUUGGUGGGUGGCACAGACCAGGGGGUAGCGACUGUUUACCAAAAACACAGGUGCAUGCGAAGGCGAAAGCCGCUGUAUAUGCACUGACGCCUGCCCGGUGCCGGAAGGUUAAGAGGAUCCGUCAACUCUUCGGAGCGAAGCGGUGAAUUCAAGCCCCGGUAAACGGCGGUGGUAACUAUAACCAUCCUAAGGUAGCGAAAUUCCUUGUCGGGUAAGUUCCGACCUGCACGAAUGGCGUA
rnacentral:rRNA from 1 species